rnacentral:rRNA from 1 species
GGUCAAGUGAAGAAGCGCAUACGGUGGAUGCCUUGGCAGUCAGAGGCGAUGAAAGACGUGGUAGCCUGCGAAAAGCUUCGGGGAGUCGGCAAACAGACUUUGAUCCGGAGAUCUCUGAAUGGGGGAACCCACCUAGGAUAACCUAGGUAUCUUGUACUGAAUCCAUAGGUGCAAGAGGCGAACCAGGGGAACUGAAACAUCUAAGUACCCUGAGGAAAAGAAAUCAACCGAGAUUCCCUUAGUAGUGGCGAGCGAACGGGGAUUAGCCCUUAAGCUUCAUUGAUUUUAGCGGAACGCUCUGGAAAGUGCGGCCAUAGUGGGUGAUAGCCCCGUACGCGAAAGGAUCUUUGAAGUGAAAUCGAGUAGGACGGAGCACGAGAAACUUUGUCUGAACAUGGGGGGACCAUCCUCCAAGGCUAAAUACUACUGACUGACCGAUAGUGAACCAGUACCGUGAGGGAAAGGCGAAAAGAACCCCGGAGAGGGGAGUGAAAUAGAACCUGAAACCGUAUGCGUACAAGCAGUGGGAGCCUACUUGUUAGGUGACUGCGUACCUUUUGUAUAAUGGGUCAGCGACUUAUAUUCAGUGGCAAGCUUAACCGUAUAGGGUAGGCGUAGCGAAAGCGAGUCUUAAUAGGGCGUUUAGUCGCUGGGUAUAGACCCGAAACCGGGCGAUCUAUCCAUGAGCAGGUUGAAGGUUAGGUAACACUGACUGGAGGACCGAACCCACUCCCGUUGAAAAGGUAGGGGAUGACUUGUGGAUCGGAGUGAAAGGCUAAUCAAGCUCGGAGAUAGCUGGUUCUCCUCGAAAGCUAUUUAGGUAGCGCCUCAUGUAUCACUCUGGGGGGUAGAGCACUGUUUCGGC